rnacentral:snRNA from 1 species
AGAUCAUCUGAGCCCAGGAGGUCGAGGCUGCAGUGAGCCAUGAUCUAGCUAGCCAUUGUACUUCAGCCUGGGUGACAGUG